rnacentral:lncRNA from 12 species
UGACACACUCAGCCCCUUUAAAUCUCCAUGGUUUCAUUUCAUGUCAUUGUCUGAGCAAAUCUCUUUGGGAUGCCAGCUAGUGUGUUCUUUUCCCAUUUGGAGCAUACAGCUGGGAAUUGAACAAUGCUUAGCAAAUCAGUGAGGCCCAAUAGUAAGAUGUAAUUUUAAUUCACUUAGGCAAGAGUUAUAUUUCAUUGCAGCAAGUUGACAAAUCGUAACCAUCUCUGUAGGGUGUCAGGAGUUAUCUCUCAGUCAAGUUUAAUGAUAACCAGGUGUCCCUAAGUGGGCCAACAUGGAUUGGGAAGAAGCCAAGGCCAGCGAAUGCAUUGCCAACCCUGUAAUGAAUUACAUGCAGAAACUCCAUUGAGGACUCCACCACUGACAAUUUCUAUACAACAUCUUUUCCAGCUCCACAUUAGGACAUAUGAUCUUAAUAAUUUUUUUAAGCUGGUUUAUGUGUUUAUAUGAAAAGGUUUAUAAGUAUCAAAUCAAGUUUGCAUAUACAUGGAAUCGACCACCACCUUCGUUGAAAACGAAUAACCCAACACAAGCUGUAGACAAAAACCCAUGAAAUAAUCCUUGUAGUCAUAUCACAGAAGAUCAUGUAGCUGCGUGGGCCCACCUGAACAUAGCACACUUCCCAAAGGAUGCUUCAGAGGAAAGUGAAUAAAUGUCUCCUACCUGGAAUCUUACGUGCAUUACAGUUUAAUUUCUUAUUAUAAAUGGUGCUCAGAGAAGGACCGAGCUCGGUUGCUUCUUUCAAUUUUUCUUUCGGAGUGAUUUUUGUUUUUCAUUUCCAGUAGGCGAUAUUAGCCUUUACUUUAGUGGUUCUGGAUACCUGGUCACUUGAAGGACUGUUAGGCUGGUGGCCUUUCAAAAAGGUUACUCAACUUUAAUUGAGGGUGAGAUGAAUGACUAUGAAUAGAUCUGUAUACUGCCUUUUUUUUUUUUUUUUUUUUUUUUUUAAAGGGGUGAGUUUGUGUGAAAGCCUCCAUUCCUCACAUGGUGGCUAUGAAUCAUCACUGGAGCCGGAUCCGUCAUGGAACGCCAAGAGCCUAAUACAGGCUGAUGUGUUGUCUUGGCCAAGAAAUCUGGGAAAGCGGCAUUGUGAUAAAGUUGCUUCUUAUUUGACUGCCUUUCUUUUAAAAUAGAAACUUCUGUUACUCACAGGAAGGUGCCAGAGGCUGUUUGCGUCUCCUUUUUCUGUGCAAAAGUGCUUGAUUUUUAAGCAGCCUAUUUUUAUCAUCCUUUCCCACACUUAGCAGGACUUCAUAUUGUUUGGAGGACAUUGGAGUAACGGUUUCUGAACUUGAACAUUAGUGGUAGGCUAUGAGGCUGAGGGCAAGGGGAUGGACCGUGUGGUUUGCUGGGUUUUUAUUCUAUUUGGGAACUGGAGAAGAAAGUCACAUUUACAGUGAGAAUUCAAGUAGCUGAAUAUAAAACAACUACUGCAUUAGAUUUCCCCUGAAAAUGCAUUCAUUUCAAACAGUUUUAUUGAGUGCUUACUAAGGGCUUGGUGCUAUGCUAGGUAAGGUCUUGGGAAACUAAAAAUAAUUAGACAUGGACUCUGAGCUCCAAUGAGGAGCUAAUGAGGAGGUUGUAAAGGAGAUGAGCAAGUAAUCAAUAAUGGCAAUGAACUUGUUAUAGUUCCCAUGCUAGCAUUAUACAUAAGUCAUGGUUGGGGUACAAAGGAAAGGGUGGUCAUUUGUUCCUGGGAGGUGUCAGGGAAGUCUUCAUAUUGGAAGUGACACUUCAGAGCUUUAACAAAGAAUAGAUGUUCACCUCAUGGAUUGAGUGGGGGGCAAUUUUACUCCAAUGAUUCAUCCUAAAAUGACAUCAGGGAAUUUGUGUAAGGCACAAGGAUUCUCCACAAUAAACAGUAGCAAAUACAUUGCUUGACUUCA